UGCUAUUUCCAGUUUCUGGAUACCAUAAUCUGGCUGAUUUAUUUUUAUAACCAAAAUAAUUGUAUGUCUGAUUUGCCAAGAAUUUAAAAAAUUCCAGGCAGCUCUCAGUAUUUAUGUCACCAUAGCACCAGUUGUCCUGGCAGGGGUUGGGGAUUUUUACAGUGCAUGCUGUACAAGCAGAGCCUUCAAAAAGAAUCUGCGUUAGAGCUUGAUUCUUUACUUCUGCAACCCAUUUCUGCCAUGUUUCAUUCACUGUGAGAAAAUGUGAGGUACUGAGAUGGAUAUCACCACUCAACUAGUGAACACUAGUAGUAGAUCGCCAGCUGAAAGUAUAUCUUGUCCUGUUGCAGUAAGGUGAAGCUAACAGGAUCUUUCUGCUGGGAUUAUAUGUGGAGAUAUAAUAUGAUAGCUGCUGAUGUAAAAACACAUCCUUUCUCAAGUACAAAUGUAGAAGCCAGGUGAUUCCUUAGGAGAAGAACCACUGUCAUGCAAAGCUGAACCAGUUGGUGGACGCUUAGGUAAUAAAUGAUGACAACAUCUAGACAGGAGAUGAAAUGUUUUGUGGAGGGAGUUCAGUGUCAGAUUCAGAGCAAGCUUGGGAACUCUCUCCACUUCUCCAGAUCUCCCACAGGCUUCACUUUGAAAAAAAGAAAUAUGCUACAAAUGUGGUACUUCAGCACCUCCGUAUCAGUGCAGGGGGAACCUACCAAAAGGGCAUGCUGAUACCCCUUUUUGUCCCAGCUGGACUUCUCACCAUCAGUCAGUGAAGUGACACAAAUGAAUCCCCCGAUGCCCAAAGAGUGUGCAAAAUGCCAUCAUAGUGCUGUAUUUUACCCGAUUGCUGUGGUUUGCUUCUCUCCCUUCAAGUCUUCUUAAAGACCCCAACCAGCACAUGAAAGGCAAAAUACCAUCCCCUUUUCUUGCUUUUCCCUAGUGCCAUGGCCUAAUUUCUAACAUAACAUUUUUGGCAAGUUCCAGUGCAAGGCUCCUUGUUUGGUAUUACUGAAAUCUUUCCAUUUGGAUUAAUUUGGUUGGUGUUUAACUUUGCCUUAUAUGCUUAAGUAACAGGCUGAGCAGAAUGCUUGUUACCUUGGGCAACCCAAAACUGACUGCUGAACUGCCAGUCAUUAACCAUUUACCUGGGACUUAACAACACUAUUUACUAAUCAAUAGUGAGAACCAUGGUAACCUUGGCUCUACAGAGCCUGAUAUCUUAUGGGAACCACGCUAAAGAAACACCAAUUCCUAGUCUUUAAUACCUGGUUCUUUUCUGCAAGGCUUCAGAGAAAGUUGUGAUGUGGCAGAAGAGGCAUGGUAUGGAUGGAGCAGAAGAAUGACGCAAGUUUAGGAGGAGGUGUCUGAUGAGGCAGAAAGAAACCUAAUCUUUAAAUGCAGAUGAACUCCCCCAGAGACAGCUGAAACGGAGGGGAGAUCAGUGGGGAUGCUGUAUCACCUGACACAUCUGCUGCUGAUACGCCUGCCAGGAAAUGGGGAGUUGUGAGCAAGGUUUGAACCCUUAGGCUUUACUAAGGAGUAGCAAAUACAGCACAGAAUGAGGUCCAACAAGGUGGGAGGCAGAUGUGGUGAGCCUCUGGAAACUGCUGCCUCCAUCUAUGGCUGGGCUUGAAUGGAGUCAAAACAUGUCUGUGAAUAAUAGCAUACCGUUACAAGUCCAAGUCUUACACAGACACAAAUCAGGUUUACUUUCCUGAACAAAAAUGGGUUUGGACAUCAUAAUGAGCUACAUAUCACCUAGUCGGGUUUAUUCACCCCCUACAAUGGCUCAUCUUACCCUGAAGAUAAAGGAACUGCUGGCUGACCUCGUGCUUCAGAGUUCAUGGGCAGGGAGCCACUUUUGGAGGAUGGUUGACCUACACCUUGGAGCUACAGCAUCUGUUAGCAUCAGGCAAAAUACGACUAUUCAGGGAAGUCACAGCCAUUCUGGUUUUACCAUCCUGAAGAAAUCAGGUGGAAAUAACCCAGUGUUACAAGGAUGAAACAGUUGCUGUGUGAGAUGCUCUGAGGUUCUCGGUACAUCACUGAAGGAAUGAGUGACCUUUUGGUGAAGGAAGAAAUGACACCAGGAUUUUUGUGAGGACAAAGUGACCCUUGUUAUGGCUCGCAGGCGAGUGAGCUAACUUCUGUGUCAAAGCCUUUCUCUUGAUAUUAUUUUGUAUUUGUGAACUUUGUGCCCGUAAGCACUGUGUGACCAGCUUACACCACGGGCCUUAGGUGUUCCAGGAUUUUGUUCUCCUGACCUGCUUCAUGGACAAUUCCAACCUGUAAUGCAAGUGGAUCUCCGGAAGAGCUGCCCUACACUUCGUUACAGGAACACUGGUCUCAAAAUUCUCCCCUCACUUCAGAGUCCACCUGCUCAGUGCCUUCCAACACAGUUGACUUCCUGCUGGCCAGUCACUGCAAGUGUCUGUGCAGAAAGACCACAUCAAUUAACAUUUUUUUGUUGUUAUUUUUAUUGACUCUUCGUGAUAUUUGACACCCGAAAAUGGGAAGGAGUGUCUACCUCGGUGAGACUAAGUAACAAGAGGAAGAGACAACUGAAAACGGUUAAGAGAAACUCAGCCCAGAACAAUGUGGGACAAAGCAUUUAUUUCCUGGAGAUGCUUCUCUAAUGAAAAAGUGCUAUGAGAAAAAUUCCGCCGUCUACAGAGAAUCAGAAAUCAUUCAGAGAAAAUGGAUUAAGGCAAUUUUCCUAUACUUUUUUUAAAAGAAGCGAGCAGUGGAAACAUUUCAUUAUCUCCAUGAGAGAUUCAAAUGCACUUGUGUGUGCUGCAGGGAUAAUGGCAUUUCCUGGGACCCUGAAGGUACUUUGGCCUCAUCCCAUGCCUGGCUAUCGGUGGAAGCUUUCAGUUAUCCAAGCACAAGGAAAAUGUUUGUUUAAAUAAAAAAGGAGUAGCGUGAGGCCAGUUCUGUGGAGUUUCUUAGAGUGUUAUCUUGCAAGACUUUUUAUUUAUUAAUGGUAUUCAGCUUUGACAUUCAGAGGUCAGCCUUGUAAGGCAGCAGAUGCUUGGGACAUGUUUUCACUUGGCGAUGCUGAAGGUGAGAGAGAGCUUUGAAAGGACUGCUGGCAAAAAUGGUGUCUGAGUUUUGAAGUUUUGUAUGCACUCUGAAUAUUACCCCAUGCAGCUUGAAAUCUCAAAGAAAAGUAAAAAAUGCUAUCAUUAUUGACCAAUGGGACUGCAUUUACAAGUGUUCUCAUUUUCCUGGAAAAAAUGACAGUAAAAAUCAC
ensembl:lncRNA